GGAGGAGUGGCAGAGUGGUCGAAUGCACCGGUCUUGAAAACCGGCGAGGGUUAACGCCCUCCGUGGGUUCGAAUCCCACCUCCUCCGCCA
rnacentral:tRNA from 1 species